GCAAGAAGGUAUAGUUGACCCUUCGACCGCCUUCUACUAGCAUUGGAGGGCCUUUUGGAAGCUUAACUUGAGCAGGGUUGGAGCCUUGUGGAGCUGAUUAUUGCGACUUCUUGUGACUAUUUGGAGCUUAGUACUAGAGCCAUCUACAGGAGAGGCUAG